GUCAAUCCGAUCACUGGCAGCAGGAGUGUGUGUCUCUUAUAAAGCGGGGCAUGCAAAUGAGGGAGACAGUUUCCUCUUUAAAUCUCUGCCUCUCUCUGCCCAGGCUGCACCCGGAGACACAAUCCGCAGCCCCCUGGGUCGGUGCAGUCACCAGCCAGUCCCCUGAGAACUUUCCCCUCCAGCACCCGGGAAAAUGGGAUUUUUGCUCCUUGUCAUUGUCGCUGUAGCAGCUUUGGAAGGUGUCCGGUCCCAGACGCUGGUGGAGUCCGGAGGGGGUGUGAAGAAGCCCGGAGACUCUCUCCGCCUCUCCUGCAAAGCCUCCGGGUUCACCUUCAGCAGCGCCUACAUGCACUGGGUCCGCCAGGCUCCCGGGAAGGGGCUGGAGUGGGUCGCUUAUAUAAGAUACGAUGGGAGUAGUAUAUACUACCUCGAUGCAGUGAAAGGGCGAUUCACCAUCUCCAGGGAUAACGCCAAGAGUGAGCUGUAUCUGCAAAUGACCGGCCUGAAGCCCGAGGACACCGCCCGCUAUUACUGUGCGGGAGACACAGUGACACCAAACCGGUUUGUGAUCGUACAAAAACCCAGGCUGCGGAAUCGCCCUUCUCCCGGCGGCCGCGCGGGGGCAGCAGCGACACCCCCCGCUUCGGGCUCGGGCAGGAGACCCGGCACCCGGGGGAACGGGACACAAACCUCCCGCCAGUUUAACCCUUCCGUUCCCGGGCAAUGUGUCUCCCCUUCCUGCCCAGAGCCCCGCUGAGUGCAGAGAUCCCUCGCUUCAUCUGUGAACUCCAAUCCGGAGUGAGUCCUGUUCUGAGUCGCUCUCCCCCCGCAGACCCGGUAUGUUGGCUCCCGCUGGGCCAGUCUCGGUGUCAGACUCACAGGCCAGCGUCUCUCAGUGU